rnacentral:rRNA from 1 species
CACGAACGCUGGCGGCGUGCCUAACACAUGCAAGUCGAACGGAGAUUUCAGCAAUGAAAUCUUAGUGGCGAACGGGUGAGUAACGCGUAGACAACCUGCCUUUUAGAUGGGGACAACACUGGGAAACUAGUGCUAAUACCGAAUGUUGUAUUUUGGUCGCAUGGCCGAGAUACUAAAGAUGGCCUCUAUUUAUAAGCUAUCACUAAAGAUGGGUCUGCGUCUGAUUAGCUAGUUGGUGAGGUAAUGGCUCACCAAGGCGACGAUCAGUAGCCGGUCUGAGAGGAUGAACGGCGACACUGGGACUGAGACACGGCCCAGACUCCUACGGGAGGCAGCAGUGGGGAAUCUUCCGCAAUGGACGAAAGUCUGACGGAGCAACGCCGCGUGAGUGAAGAAGGUUUUCGGAUCGUAAAACUCUGUUUUCAGGGACGAAUGUGCAGCUUGUGAAUAAUUAGUUGUAAUGACGGUACCUGAGUAGAAAGCCACGGCUAACUACGUGCCAGCCGCCGCGGUAAUAC